AUUGAACGCUGGCGGCAGGCCUAACACAUGCAAGUCGAGCGAGCGGCGGACGGGUGAGUAAUGUAUGGGGACUGCCCGAUAGAGGGGGAUAACUACUGGAAACGGUGGCUAAUACCGCAUACUAUCGGAUAACCCAUAUGGGAUUAGCUAGUAGGUGGGGUAAAGGCUCACCUAGGCGACGCUCUCUAGCUGGUCUGAGAGGAUGAUAAGCCAGAAUGGGACUGAGACACGGCCGAGACUCCAAGGGAGGCAGCAGGGGGGAAUAUUGCACACGGGGCGCAAGCCUGAUGCAGCCAUGCCGCGUGGAUGAAGAAGGCCUUAGGGUUGUAAAGUACUGUCAGCGGGGAGGCGUUACCCGCAGAAGAAGAACCGGCUAACUCCGUGCCAGCAGCCGCGGUAAUUC
rnacentral:rRNA from 1 species